ACGGGUGAGUAAUGUCUGGGAAACUGCCUGAUGGAGGGGGAUAACUACUGGAAACGGUAGCUAAUACCGCAUAACGUCGCAAGACCAAAGAGGGGGACCUUCGGGCCUCUUGCCAUCAGAUGUGCCCCAGAUGGGAUUAGCUAGUAGGUGGGGUAACGGCUCACCUAGGCGACAAUCCCUAGCUGGUCUGAGAGGAUGACCAGCCACACUGGAACUGAGACACGGUCCAGACUCCUACGGGAGGCAGCAUG
rnacentral:rRNA from 1 species